GGUGAACGCUGGCGGCGUGCCUAAGACAUGCAAGUCGAGCGGGGCAGGUUUAUACCUGUUCAGCGGCGGACGGGUGAGUAACGCGUGGGUGACCUACCCGGAAGAGGCGGACAACCUGGGGAAACCCAGGCUAAUCCGCCAUGUGGUCCUGUCCUGUGGGGCAGGACUAAAGGGUGGAUAGCCCGCUUCCGGAUGGGCCCGCGUCCCAUCAGCUAGUUGGUGGGGUAAAGGCCCACCAAGGCGACGACGGGUAGCCGGUCUGAGAGGAUGGCCGGCCACAGGGGCACUGGGACACGGGCCCCACUCCUACGGGAGGCAGCAGUUAGGAAUCUUCCGCAAUGGGCGCAAGCCUGACGGAGCGACGCCGCUGGGAGGAGGAAGCCCUUCGGGGUGUAAACUCCUGAACUGGGGACGAAAGCCCCGUGUAGGGGGAUGACGGUACCCAGGUAAUAGCGCCGGCCAACUCCGUG
rnacentral:rRNA from 1 species